rnacentral:lncRNA from 1 species
ACACAAGAGGUUCUUGGGUCAUUCCCCUCAUGUGACAAAUAUUCGAUUUACCAGUGGUGAUCGACAUGUUGUCAGUGCUGGAGGCGAUGACUGCAGCUUGCUUGUCUGGAAAUGUGUACACACGCCUCAUUGAAAGUUACGAUGCUGAGAAGACUAAACAAAUCUCACCUCAAGAGAGCAGUUCCACGUCGGAAAAACCAAAACCAAACUGUGUGGUCAAGUGGUGCUAACUGAAGACUGUGACAGGGAGGGAUGUCCAGAAUCAUCCACACAGCAGCAGACAGUUCAAAAUGCUUGCUGUGCGUACCAACCCAUAGUCCACACACUGCCAGAUAAUUACACUACAAGGAAUGACUGAGCAUUUGGUAAAGCCAACCUCCUCCUCUUACUGAGGGGUGUGGAAUGGCAGACUUGCCCAGGAGAUUUUUAGGGUACAGCAGUCUUUAAACAAACAAACAAACAAACAAACAAACAAAAAACCAACUUAAUCUCACCUCUAAUAUUUCUUAUUAAGGUUUGUUCAAUGAAAUAUUUCAUCCUUGUACAAGGAAAGAAAUACCCAACCAUCGCCCUAAUCUGUUUCCAAUUUUUUUUUUCGGAGCUGGGGACCGAACUCAGGGCCUUGCACUUGCUAGGCAAGCGCUCUACCACUGAGCUAAAUCCCCAACCCCACAAAGAUUUUUCUUAAGGGAACCUAUAUAAGCUUUCCUGGUAAAUGUUUCCCAUUCAUUAAUAAAGUACCCUCUGCAAAGGACACUUCUUAUAGCCUGAAUUAAGGAAUAGAUCCAAAGUCAGCAGUACAUGAGUACUAUAUUUUCACUUUGAGCUGUCAAUUUUUGUGUUUAGAAGCCAUCUCUAUAAAA